AUUGAACGCUGGCGGCAGGCCUAACACAUGCAAGUCGAGCGGAUGAAGGGAGCUUGCUCCUGGAUUCAGCGGCGGACGGGUGAGUAAUGCCUAGGAAUCUGCCUGGUAGUGGGGGAUAACGUCCGGAAACGGGCGCUAAUACCGCAUACGUCCUGAGGGAGAAAGUGGGGGAUCUUCGGACUUCACGCUAUCAGAUGAGCCUAGGUCGGAUUAGCUAGUGGUGGGGUAAAGGCCUACCAAGGCGACGAUCCGUAACUGGUCUGAGAGGAUGAUCAGUCACACUGGAACUGAGACACGGUCCAGACUCCUACGGGAGGCAGCAGUGGGGAAUAUUGGACAAUGGGCGAAAGCCUGAUCCAGCCAUGCCGCGUGUGUGAAGAAGGUCUUCGGAUUGUAAAGCACUUUAAGUUGGGAGGAAGGGCAGUAAGUUAAUACCUUGCUGUUUUGACGUUACCAACAGAAUAAGCACCGGCUAACUUCGCG
rnacentral:rRNA from 1 species